rnacentral:rRNA from 1 species
GAGUUUGAUCCUGGCUCAGAACGAACGCUGGCGGCGUGCCUAACACAUGCAAGUCGAGCGCGAAAAGGGUAACCUGAGUAGAGCGGCGCACGGGUGCGUAACACGUGGGUAAUCUGCCUUAGAGUCGAGGAUAACCUUCCGAAAGGUUGGCUAAUACUCGGUAAGCUUACGGUGUCUUCGGACGCUGUGGGAAAAGUAGGCCUCUGUUUACAAGCUUACGCUCCAAGAUGAGCCCGCGGCCCAUCAGCUAGUUGGCGGGGUAACGGCCCACCAAGGCAACGACGGGUAGCUGGUCUGAGAGGACGAUCAGCCACACUGGAACUGAGACACGGUCCAGACUCCUACGGGAGGCAGCAGUGGGGAAUUUUCCACAAUGGGCGAAAGCCUGAUGGAGCAACGCCGCGUGUGUGAUGAAGGUUUUCGGAUCGUAAAGCACUUUCGACCGGGACGAAAAACCUCUGGCUAACAUCCAGGGGCCUGACGGUACCGGGAGAAGAAGCACCGGCUAACUCUGUGCCAGCAGCCGCGGUAAUACAGAGGGUGCAAGCGUUGUUCGGAAUUAUUGGGCGUAAAGCGCGUGUAGGCGGCUUGGCAAGUCAGAUGUGAAAGCCCUCGGCUUAACCGAGGAAGUGCGUCUGAAACUGCUGAGCUUGAGUCUCGGAGAGGAUGGCGGAAUUCCGCAAGUAGAGGUGAAAUUCGUAGAUAUGCGGAGGAACACCGGUGGCGAAGGCGGCCAUCUGGACGAGUACUGACGCUGAGACGCGAAAGCGUGGGGAGCAAACAGGAUUAGAUACCCUGGUAGUCCACGCUGUAAACGAUGAGAACUAGGUGUCGUGGGUGUUGACCCCCGCGGUGCCGCAGCUAACGCAUUAAGUUCUCCGCCUGGGAAGUACGGCCGCAAGGCUA